CCUACGGGAUGCAGCAGUGGGGAAUAUUGCACAAUGGGCGCAAGCCUGAUGCAGCCAUGCCGCGUGUAUGAAGAAGGCCUUAGGGUUGUAAAGUACUUUCAGUUGGGAGGAAGGCGUUGAUGCUAAUAUCAUCAACGAUUGACGUUACCAACAGAAGAAGCACCGGCUAACUCCGUGCCAGCAGCCGCGGUAAUACGGAGGGUGCAAGCGUUAAUCGGAAUUACUGGGCGUAAAGCGCACGCAGGCGGUUGAUUAAGUUAGAUGUGAAAUCCCCGGGCUUAACCUGGGAAUGGCAUCUAAGACUGGUCAGCUAGAGUCUUGUAGAGGGGGGUAGAAUUCCAUGUGUAGCGGUGAAAUGCGUAGAUAUUAGGAGGAACACCAGUGGCGAAGGCGGCCUGCUGGACAUUAACUGACGCUGAGGAGCGAAAGCGUGGGGAGCAAACAGGAUUAGAUACCCGGGUAGUC
rnacentral:rRNA from 1 species